AGUACUAAUACUGCUGCAGAGUACUUAUACUGCUAGAGAGUACUAAUACUGCUACAGGGUACUAAUACUGCUACAGAGUACUAAUACUGCUACAGAGUACUAAUACUGCUACAGAGUACUAAUACUGCUACAGGGUACUAAUACUGCUACAGAGUACUUAUACUGCUAGAGAGUACUAAUACUGCUACAGGGUACUAAUACUGCUACAGAGUACUUAUACUGCUACAGAGUACUAAUACUGCUACAGAGUACUAAUACUGCUAGAGAGUACUAAUACUGCUACAGGGUACUAAUACUGCUACAGAGUACUUAUACUGCUAGAGAGUACUAAUACUGCUACAGGGUACUAAUACUGCUACAAAGUACUAAUACUGUUUUAGUACUAGUGCUAUUUUUUCCUGCUCCCACACUGUACCCCUCAUAGUCUGGUUUUUUUUCUUUUUUUCUCGCCUCUCUUCCCUCAUGUUAUGCUGUAAUCUUCCAUCCACCCUUUCUUGCAAUUUCGUUGCUUUUGUACCUGUACUCUAGUCAAUGACAAAUAAAACCAAUACCAAAACCAA